rnacentral:tRNA from 1 species
AGGGCUGUGGCUCAGUGGUAGAGCACUUGCUUUGCAUGCAUGAGGCCCUGGGUUCGAUCUCCAGCUCUA